GCCACUCAGGAGUACCCCACCCAUCGACCAAACACUCUCAUUUUCAAGAUGGCGCUGGAAUCCAGGGGAAAACUUCAUGACGACAGUAAUGACAUAAGAUGGCACACCCAGUAGGAUAUGCUUUGAAUAAAACACUUAACCAAUUAUUGAUGUGUUAUUUCGUGUUAUCUCUGACAGUGCUUAUGAUGUAAUUGUGCUUUAUAAGGGACAUGUCGUCCCCCCGAAUAAACAUUCCAGAGUAUUUCAUCAACCGGGAAACGUGUCUGGUGUGAUUUACUUUGGAAAGCAUGAAUGCACCAUAACUAAUUUGGACAGGGGCAGAUACACAAAAAUAAUCAAUUUACAAACAUAUAAGUCUCUGUCCUUCUGUCUU